UGAGAGGAAGAGAAAGACCUAGAAAGAGAGAAAGUAAAAAGGAAAAUGAGAAAUAUAGAAUAAGAAAAAAAUGGAAGAGAAUGAAAAAAACAGUGGCGUAGUUAGGAAGUUUCCAUUGUUUCGGGGCCUGGGGGGCUUGACUUGUUUGGGGGCCCCUGCAUUUUGCGUGAUAUUUAUUUUUUUAAGUAAAAAAAAAAAACACUUCUUUUGGGCGUCUCUCAAGUGGGGGCCGGGUAGAUUUGAAAUUCUCCCCCCCCCCUUCUCCCCCCCACCCUAGCUACGCCACUGGAAAAAAAUAUAAAGAAAGAAAGAGUGCCAUACAGUGACAACUAUGAGUGACAACUAUGAGUGACAUGUAGUGACAGAAAAACAAUGAAAGUUGCAAGAAAGAAGAUAAGAGAGUCCCUAAUCUUUAAAUCUAUUUUAUUCUCCCUGUCUAUUUUUCUACUUUUUUUUUGGUGGGGGCGGGUAAAUCUCAAUAACCCUGGAAGACCCAGUGGGUCACGGGUGACCCAUAACCGAAAAAUACGUUUAAGUAAAUGUCUACUUCAUUUGUUAUGUAAUUUUUACCAUGAAUACCCAGUGGCCCAUCUAUGGAACACAAGGGAAACAAUUAUUAUGUUACAGUUUUCUUAUUACUGAAUGAUAUCCCCUUUUGCAUAUGGCUACCUCCAUGCGAAGUUGGAAUCUCAGUAUACGACCGAAUUAAAUUAUUUUUUUACUGCUUUAUACAAGAAUAAUGUCAGCUUCAUUCCCUAAGAAAUUCACUGCUCAAGAAGUGCUAGAUAUUUUAGAAUUAAUUGACUACAAUGAUUCAACUGAUGAUGAGGACUAUGAGCAAGAACCUGAUAAGGAAACAGAACGCAAGACCUCAAUUCUUCCGAAUCAUCUUCUGAUUUAGAAGAGACAGAACCCUUGCCAUUUACUUAUAGUGCCUCUUUAAAAUUAAAAUAAGAUGGCAGGAUGGCUGCCUGGUCUUGCGGUUUGCGUGCUGGACUGUCGUUCGGAUUUAUUGACUGUCGAGGGUUCAAACCCUGCCCGCUCCCAUCCCCCGUCGUCCUGCGGGAGGUUUGGACUAGGAAGUAAACUAUCUUCAACUCUGAAGGAACAUCUGAAUUAUGUAAAACAUUUUAAAACAUUUUUACAAUAACCAAUGUGGGAGUGCUAAGAAGAGCAGGGCGCCAGGACAUCUACUUUGUUAUCAGGAGCUAACGCCUUGGCAGGCUUGGCCACGUUCAUAGAAUGCCAGUAGGUUGACUUCUACAAGACAUUCUGUAUGGCGAUCUAACAGAAGGCAAGAGAGCCACUGGUCGUCCACUCUUGCAGUAUACCGAUGUGUGCAAACACAACAUAAAGCUCAUCAAAAUGGACACUAGCAGCAGCGUAUCAGUUAUUGGCCUCUUUAGUCAUACAAGAAGUUGCCAAGGGAAAAGAUUGUCUCUCGAGACAUAAAAUGCCACAGAUACCUAUGAGUAUAGUGUUUAAAAAAGUGGAGGAAAUAUCGACAUCAAUAAAAUAAAAAAAUAUUAUUUUCUAACAUUU